GGAUCCAGACUUUGAUUAUGGCUCAGGAUGAACGCUAGCUACAGGCUUAACACAUGCAAGUCGAGGGGAAACGACAUCGAAAGCUUGCUUUUGAUGGGCGUCGACCGGCGCACGGGUGAGUAACGCGUAUCCAACCUGCCCACCACUUGGGGAUAACCUUGCGAAAGUAAGACUAAUACCCAAUGACGUCUCUAGAAGACAUCUGAAAGAGAUUAAAGAUUUAUCGGUGAUGGAUGGGGAUGCGUCUGAUUAGCUUGUUGGCGGGGUAACGGCCCACCAAGGCGACGAUCAGUAGGGGUUCUGAGAGGAAGGUCCCCCACAUUGGAACUGAGACACGGUCCAAACUCCUACGGGAGGCAGCAGUGAGGAAUAUUGGUCAAUGGACGAGAGUCUGAACCAGCCAAGUAGCGUGCAGGAUGACGGCCCUAUGGGUUGUAACUGCUUUUAUAAGGGAAUAAAGUGAGUCUCGUGAGACUUUUUGCAUGUACCUUAUGAAUAAGGACCGGCUAAUUCCGUGCCAGCAGCCGCGGUAAUACGGAAGGUCCGGGCGUUAUCCGGAUUUAUUGGGUUUAAAGGGAGCGUAGGCCGGAGAUUAAGCGUGUUGUGAAAUGUAGACGCUCAACGUCUGCACUGCAGCGCGAACUGGUUUCCUUGAGUACGCACAAAGUGGGCGGAAUUCGUGGUGUAGCGGUGAAAUGCUUAGAUAUCACGAAGAACUCCGAUUGCGAAGGCAGCUCACUGGAGCGCAACUGACGCUGAAGCUCGAAAGUGCGGGUAUCGAACAGGAUUAGAUACCCUGGUAGUCCGCACGGUAAACGAUGGAUGCCCGCUGUUGGUCUGAAUAGGUCAGCGGCCAAGCGAAAGCAUUAAGCAUCCCACCUGGGGAGUACGCCGGCGACGGUGCAACUCAAGGGAAUUGACGG
rnacentral:rRNA from 1 species